rnacentral:tRNA from 1 species
GCCGAAGUGGCGGAACUGGCAGACGCAGCGGACUCAAAAUCCGCCGGUGGCAACACCGUAAGGGUUCGACUCCCUUCUUCGGCA